CCCCUCUCAGGAUGGCACCUGGAGAGUUUCCAGGACUCUACCAAUAUCGACUACAGGAGGGAGAGUCAGGCAGAGGCCUAUCCAUUCCAUUCCUAGCUUGGUCAGUGGCUAGUGAGUGGAAAGCAAUCUGCCCCAAGU